GCCUCGCUAGCUCAAUCGGUAGAGCGUGAGACUCUUACUUCUGCGUCACAAGAGUGAUAUCAGAUCUCAAGGCUGCGGGUUCGACCCCCGCGUGGGGCU